rnacentral:misc_RNA from 1 species
GAAAGUUUAGGGAUAUGGCAUCAUCCUCUCCUUCGAAUCAAUUGACGCUGUAAGAGAAAAUUCAUGCACGAGAAAAUAUAUGGUUGAAAAUCUGCCUAUUACGAUGUGUUAUUGCUGAAUUCAAGCAAAAAUGUGGACGUCAUGGAAGGAAUUGAAUCCAGACAAUUGGUUUUUUGGAUGCGUAUAGAGUAAGAGAUUUUUCUUGCUAUUUGUUUGAAUAUUGGAAGAUAAAUGGGCUGUUGUAAAGUUUAGAUAUAUUUUUUUUACUUCAGAAUGCUGAGAAGAGAUGCGAAUUUUCUAAAUAGGUUGAUUGUGAAUCACCAAAAUGGAUGGGAAUUGAUAAUUGAACUAGGAUAAGAUGAUGCAGG